CGGGGUGCAGCAGGCGCGAAAACUUUACAAUGCUGGCAACAGCGAUAAGGGGACCUCGAGUGCCAGGAUACAAUCUUGGCUGUCGUGAUGUCUAAAAAGCAUUGCAUAGCAAGGGCCGGGCAAGACCGGUGCCAGCCGCCGCGGUAACACCGGCGGCUCGAGUGGUAACCGCUAUUAUUGGGUCUAAAGGGUCUGUAGCCGGCCGGAUAAGUCUCUUGGGAAAUCCGACAGCUCAACUGUCGGGCUUUCAGGGGAUACUGUUCGGCUCGAGGCCGGGAGAGGUGAGAGGUACUUCAGGGGUAGGGGUGAAAUCUUGUAAUCCUUGAAGGACCACCAGUGGCGAAGGCGUCUCACCAGAACGGUCCUGACGGCAAGGGACGAAAGCUAGGGGCACGAACCGGAUUAGAUACCCGGGUAGUCCUAGCCGUAAACGAUACUCGCUAGGUGUCGGCCACGGUGCGACCGUGGUCGGUGCCGUAGGGAAGCCGUGAAGCGAGCCACCUGGGAAGUACGGCCGCAAGGCUGAAACUUAAAGGAAUUGGCGGGGGAGCAC
rnacentral:rRNA from 1 species